GAGCAUAUGCAUAAAUGUAAUGUAAAGGUUUUUUAGAGGGGGAGCUGGAUUUAUUUAUGACUUUAAAUGGAAAUCAGUUAUGUGAUCAAUGACAAAUAAAUACUACUUGCUGUCUUGUUAUGAACCUGAUAAUCUGCAGGAGGAGAUGUUGAAAUUACUUCAAAGUUACUGUGAAUCAGAAGAAAAUGACUAGAGAUAAACUUAUGAAGCCUAAAUGAAGCCAUGAUGUUAUACGCACCGUUGCAGUAGGCGGCGGUAUGUACCUUGUUUUAAGGUCUGUAACCCGUUAAAAGAACAGAAGGAAGAAGAACAAUAACAUAACUUCCGGUUGUUCUUUUGCUCCCACGUUGAACAGAGUAAAAGCGUCUGGCGCAUCGGCAUUUAUUUAUUUGCUUGGAAACGCCGUUUUUAGCAUGUUGAAAUUCCCCUGUAACCUUCACAGUGUUAUAUAAAAGUACAGGAUGAGUGAAGUGUGCACUUUUGUUCAUGCCAUUGCAGAGGGAUGAAGAUGUGUUUUAAAGCUGCUAUGACACGAAGGAGGACCCCUGGUGGUAAGAAUAAAAGUGUUGGUCAAAAUGUAAUUUGUGUAAAAAGUGAAUUUUAUUUGAAUGUUGUAAAUAAUCUUUAGCACAUGUUGAUUUGUUUAAACUGAGAAAUUUCACAUCUCUGGCACCCGUAGUCUGUUUGGGUUAAUUGAAUAAACAUUCUUUAAAAAAAUGUGGGUUGUGGUCACUUGUACAGUGUUUUUUUAAUUUUUUUUAUUAAAGUUUGGGAGGAGCAUGUUUAUUUAAUCCAUUUUAUUUAGCCGUCCCGUGACAGUUUUGCUGCAUCCCUUCACCACCCCAUCACCUCAACUCACUCUCAGCUGGUACCUGUUCCAGUCAAGAAGGGGGCCAAAUUCCAAGCUUGGAGAGCACCCCUUAAACAGCAAAAUAUGUACCUUACCAUUUAUGACGUUUUUAUUUGCCAGGCAAACUAACAUUAUCAAAUAAACCUUAAAGAGGAACUUAUUUUAAACCACAUUCUCUCCUUUUUUAACUCGGGUCUUCAUUUUUUUGUUAAAUGUAGCUUAUGGUCAGCAUUUUUAAAAUUUGAUUUAAAAAUAUUUUCUCGAUUAUUAUGAGGUUAUAAAAAGUUGUUUAUGCAGAUUCAGUAGCUUUUUUUGCUAUCUCAAGGCCACAGGAGCUGAGGAGCUAUGGGGUUUAACAAAUUUGAUGAUAAUAGUGGGGAACUGAGCUGUGUGGUGUUAUAGGUGCUGAGAAAGCUGUUGUUUUUAACAUAAUUUUAUUAUAAAAUAUAUUUUAGUAUGACAUAAGGCAAAGAACAUGGGACACAGGAGAAUGCCAAAAUGGCAAACGGGGUGAAUGUAGCCGGACAGGAAAAUACUUCUAAAAAAAUUUUUCAUAAAUGGUUUAUAUUUACAUGUAGCAUAAACUACA